GUUCAAACAACUUUUCGCCGUGCCACAGUUUUCUAGAUUGAAACCUCGUUACUGAAAUAUAUACAUUUUCAAGAAGUUGUUCUCAUCUGUGUAAGGCCGGUAGAAAAGAGUGUUUCCCUAGCCAAUUCACCUUAUUUCCCUCUUUCGAGUAUUAUUCCUUCUGUUCGGCUCACAAUCAUUUAGGAAUUGGUGAUGACCAGCUUGCUAGUUCGGGGAGAAGAUUUUGAAUGCACGGUAUCCCACAGUAGAUAAGACUUCAAAGACUUAUUUCUUAACAAUUGUCAAAUCAUUAAAUAUCAUUUAAAACUAUUAAUAAUGCUAAAAAUAAAUUUUGUCUUCAG